CGCGCAGGCGGCGCGUUAAGUCCGGGGUGAAAUCCAUCGGCUCAACCGGUGGGGGACCUUGGAUACUGGCGCACUGGAGUGCGGGAGAGGGAAGCGGAAUUCCACGUGUAACGGUGAAAUGUAUAGAUAUGUGGAGGAACACCGGUGGCGAAGGCGGCUUCCUGGACCGUAACUGACGCUGAGGCGCGAAAGCUGGGGGAGCGAACA
rnacentral:rRNA from 1 species